GACGAACGCUGGCGGCGUGCCUAAUACAUGCAAGUAGAACGCUGAAGGAGGAGCUUGCUUCUCUGGAUGAGUUGCGAACGGGUGAGUAACGCGUAGGUAACCUGCCUGGUAGCGGGGGAUAACUAUUGGAAACGAUAGCUAAUACCGCAUAAGAGUAGACGUUGCAUGACAUUUGCUUAAAAGGUUCAAUUGCAUCACUACCAGAUGCACCUGCGGUGUAUUUGCUUGUUGGUGUGGUAUCGGCUCACCAAGGCGACGAUACAUAGCCGACCUGAGAGGGGGAGCGGCCACACUGGGAGUGAGACACGGCCCAGACGCCUACGGGAGGCAGCAGUAGGGAAUCUUGGGCAAGAGACGGAAGUCUGACCGAGCAACGCCGCGUGAGGGAAGAAGGUUGUCGGAUCGUAAAGGUCUGUUGUAAGGGAAGAACGAGUGUGAGAGUGGAAAGUUCACACUGUGACGGUAUCUUACCAGAAAGGGACGGCUAACUACGUG
rnacentral:rRNA from 1 species